rnacentral:snRNA from 1 species
AGAGCGGGUCGCCGCGUGCCGGC